GCAGCACCCAGGGCUCUGACUUCUCAGACUCAAGAGUUUUUGCCCAACUUUCCCCCCUCAUCCCAACUCACCCCUAAUCUCCUCCCACUCCAGUUUCUCUGGCCACAGGAUUUCCACUUCUCCCAGCACAGUGUUGUGGCCCUGAGAGAGCGUCUGUGAACUCAACUCCAGAACAACUCGCUUCACGUUUCUCUGAGGAUGACGGUGAGGCCCGAGCCCUGCAGUUCGGAGGAGGCCCCCUUGGACUCUGCAGUUUUGCAGCUGACCCGGGACUACUGUCUGGCAGGGGAGGGCAAAGGAAGAGAAGAAGCACUUUUCUGAUGGGACAUUCGAUGAUGCUUCUUAGUGGGCGUGGCGCUUCCAUUCAAGUCCCCCAUCUCAGUCAGAGCUGGGGACUUGCAGUUUGUCCUUGCCUGACAGGGAUUCGAAGGGCCAAAUUGUUUCUAGAGAAUAAAACGCAUGUUUGAAAUGGAACAAUGUAUUGACUUCAGGAGAAAACAUGCUGAAAGGAAGCCCUGCAGGGAACUUUCUAGAUGAUCUGCUCCAGCUCCCACAUCUUAUUGAAGAGUGAACCUCAAUUCUGAGAGGUGGAGAGACUUGCUAGAGUAACAUACGUGGUUAAUGGAGGAACCAAACCUAGGGUCCAGUUAAGAAAAAUCGCUUCUGUCACCACUUGGAGCUCUCUGGCAGGAAACACAUUUUUGUCUGGUGGUUGUGAAAUGAAUUGCCAACCGUCAGGUUGGAGGGAGAAGAGCUGGAGCAGGUACCUCAGCACCAAGAGGCCCAGGCAUGAUGAAUACUGGUAGCACUUCAACAGGAACAGAGAGAGAAUUCCAGAGGUGCUGCAAGACCCACAGGUAGAGAUGACUAUGCUCCACUGGAUGUGUGGCUCUGGGCUUCUGUUCUCUCCAUCUCAUUUGAAAAUAAAGAUUCAGGUAAUACCUGCAUGCUGGCCCUGGUCGUCCAGUCGUUAGUAUUUGGCGCUCUCACUGCCUUGGCCUGGGUUUGCUUCCUGGUCAAGGAACCACACCCCCAGUCCCUUGGUUGUCAUAUUCUGGCAAUUGCAUCAGACAGGUUUCAACAGAGCUUCCAGACUAGGAGGAAGGACCUGGCCACCUACUUCCAAAAAUUGGCUGUGAAAACCCUGUGAAUAGCGGUAGAGCAUUGUCUGAUACAGCACUGGAAGGUGAGAGGAUAGAACAAUAAAAGACUGGGCAGUGUUCCUCUCUGUGGUACACAGGGUCACAAGGAGUUAAAAUUGACUUGACAGCACUAACAACAAUAUCCACAAAGAAGUAGUAGUGGAAAGUUUGUGUGUGAGUAAUAUCACCAAGGGAUAAUGUAGAAUAGGGUUUUUCAGUUUUGACAUUAUUGACGUUUUGGUUGGGAGGGUUUACUUCUUGGGGGUGGGACUUGCUUAUACAUUGCAAGAUGUUUAGCGGUGCCCCUGGCCUCUACCCACUACAUGCCAGUAGCAUCCCCUCUCUCCAGUUACGGCAACCAAAAAUGUUUCCAAAAAUUGCAAAGUAUCCCUGGGGGACACAAUUGCCCCUGGUUGAGAACCACUGGUCAGAAUAAAGGCACGAGGUCAAAGAACGGAACCCUGAAGUCCACCAACAUUUAAAAGGAAGAUAGAGGAAUAGGAGUUAGUGGGAACAAUCAAGAGUGGAGAGUUUCAAGAGACAAGUGUUUAGAAAAGUCUUCCUCUAUGGAGAGGUCACAUAAAAUAUGGGCAGAAAAAAAUGAUGUGUGAAUUUGGUGAUGAGAAGGUCCUUGGUGACCUUAUUCAGAGGACUGGUGGGAGCAGGAGCUUAGAGGUGAGGAAUAAAUGGGAUGCGUGGGAGUAGAGUUAGUGAAAGUAAGUCAAUAAACUUGAGUAAGAAAUGAAGGGGUGAGGAGGCAGUAAUUAAAGGGGUGGCAUAUCAAAGGCGUGUCUUCUGAAGAUGAAUCUUCUUGUGUAGCGCUGCUUCGGGAGCUCGUGCAGGCAAUGACCUUAUGUUAUUUCUUUUUGAAAUAUCAUACUUGAUUUAUAAGAAAAGGCUCAAUAAAUAUAUAUCUGUUGAUUCAGGGACUUAUUUUGUUACCAUUUCUUGGACUGUGGAUAUUUUAAAAGAACUCCAGGAAGAAAGAGAUGUUUCACGCAAUAGGAUGAAUCACAAAUGACAGGAUUUCAGACAUGAGUCAGAGAUAUUUUGGGUGCAGCCCUGCCCUGUGUCCUCUUACCAUACCACCUACUCACCUCACAUUUCCCACAUGGACCCAUUGUUCCCUUUUUUGCUGCCAACCAGACUUUGUUCCCUAACUCAAGUCAUGGGUAAUUAUUUCACCCCUGACUAAUUCGCAGUGACGAAGAGCUAGUGAACUGGGUAGAGAAGGAGAACAAAUUUGGUGUCCUUGUCUUUCCCGGACUGUUCAGGCUGGGAGAGAUUGGAAUGUUCCCCUGGACUGAAUUGCACAAAAUUGUACCGUCAGUCUUAAGGGUGUCUGCAUGAGCUAAUGAGAUACAAAUAGUGACACAUCAAAAAAAAAGCCCAACUGAAAAUUUCAUAACUUAUAAUGUUGUCCUAAAGGAGGCAGCAGAGUACAUAAAAGGGGAGGGGAGAAGGAAACACGGCUAACAGCACGACUUUUGAGUGGAGUCGUUGGUUUAUCUAUAGCUUAUGAACAUAAUCUCAGCCUAAAAAGAUGAAUGAGAAGAGGUUCCGAGAAAGAAAAUCUAUUAUUUGAAGAUGUAGAAUUGCAGUUUUGUAAAGCCACAAGCACAGGCAAAGCCUAUUUUCAUUUGGUUUUGACCAUAGCUCAUGCCAUCUCCCCAAAAGAACCCACAACCAGAAAUAGAUUUUUUGUUUUUUAAUUUGUUAACCAAUCCAUUUACACCAAGAACCAUCCCAGAUCAUAGCCUCUGAGGAGGCAAGACUGACUUAGGCCUUACUCACGGCUGUUCCUUUCAUCCCUUAGCCUGGUGCCUGCCACCUAGCAGUUCCUUGGUUAAUGUUUAUUGAACUAAAAGAUAGGAUUUUUUAAUUGAUGCAGUUUAAAGUAGGAUUUUGAAUGUCUCAUUUGAUUUUAAAUGAAAACUCAGAAACUUCAGCCUAGCCUCGGGUGACACCAGGGGCCUUGAGAGAACAGUUUUCAGGUAAGCCCCAACUUCUGAUGUAUUGCUCAACAACCAGCUUAAUCAGAACGCCUUCUUGAAGCCCACACGAUGAGCAGUGACAUGCUAAUUGAAAUGUACUUUCCCAAGUGAACCACUUAGCAAUUUAUAUAAAUAUCAAAGCCCUGGGCUUUACUGUCAGUCUUUGUUUUGGAAUGAGAAAUUUAUAAAAAACAUAUGUUUCCAACUGUCAUUGACAGAGUGUUCUGAAAAUAUGGCCACUGAAUCACUUCCGACUUUUCUUUCUGCAGACAUGGAACUAGUCAGGGUACAUUUCUCUGUUAAUAACAUCUCCUUUCAGAAGGAAUCUCUUUCACACGAGGGUUUCAUUACUAAAUUCUGGGGAGCUAUUGAUAAUGGAGGUGGUACCCAGGGAAAGAAUGGCCAGGCAGAAACAGCUAGAAUAUUUGAAAUUCUAAUUCUGGCAGAUGAGAAAAGGGAAGCAAUUAUGAGAGAAACGACUGAUCUUGUUGCGGCUUGGUAAUCCCAAUGAAUAAUAUUGUCUUUCCUGGUGAUUGUUAGACACGAGCAUGUGUCCCUGUCACAGGCAAAGAUCUGUGAUUGUAAGUGAAAUCCUGCCUGAAUCUGGAGACUUUCCUAUUUGAGCUGGAAGUGGGACCGUCAAACUGUGAUCAUAAGUCUGGCUUGCUGAAGGACUUGAGAGUGGAGCUGAAAGUGUGAAAUCCUACAAUAACUGUGUCACUGUGCUACACAGAGCCUCUUUUGUCUUCUUAAGCUAUCCGACUUUCCCAUAGGGUUUCUUUCCCCAAACAUGCCUCAAAUGGUGUCGCUUAAUGAAAAAUGCCACUCAGAACAAGGUAGCUUUCACCGAUGACCAUACGAGGUGGACAUUCUAGUAAUUCUAGUCACAUGGGAGAGCAGGACGGGUUUAGAUAGCUUGGGAAAAUGAGUUCCGAGAGUGGCACCCAGAGAAUGGCCCGGCUGGUGGGGCAGAAAGAGUGGGUCAUAUGUCAGUCCAUGUCCUCCACGAGCCUCUCCAAUCCAUCGCAAAAAUGCCACAGGCCCCAAAGCCCAGGCGAUUGUUUUGUUUCUAGUCUACAUAUAAAUCUUUUAAUUGCAUGUCCUAAGCCUUGAGACAUUUAUGUGGAAUUGUUUUGGAAAAAAAAGAAAGGAAGGGCGGAAGAGAGAAACUUCUGCUGGCAGCCAAGCGAUCUGCAUUUCAUUUCGAUUUAGAUAGUUUUGCUAUACAUUUUUUUCCCAAGGUUUCAUGGAUUUCAAUAAUAUAUCUUUCAUCACCAGAUCACCAAAAACUGGUUGUGUUGAGCUGUCCCUGGGGCUUCAGAGUGCAUAUCAGGGAUUACUUUAUAACUGGGAACUCAUGAAUUGUACGGGGUUUACAAAUGACUUGUUUUUCUCAGUUUAAUGGUCAAACCAUGAAACUGAUAACUUAUUCCCGGAAGGGUAUGUGUAUGAUAUGUUAAAGGGUCUUUGAGAACAGGAUUAAAAAAUAAUCAAAACACACACACACGCAGACAUACUCAGCUAGUUUUAAGUAAGACAUUUGCAGAGUGGAUGAGGCCUGACUGCUAUGAAUUGCAGGCUUUAAAAUGUCCAUUUUAAUGUGUUUUUAUGUCUCUCUACCCUUGACCCACCUAUUCCAACCACGCUAAAAGCUUUGGGCUGAAAUUGUUUUUAACCUCUUGGCAGCUAUCAUUCGACCCUGCAACCCAAGCAUGGCAUUGUGCAACCCAGUGGCCUUCCAGUAGGAAGCAGCACUGGAGAAGCCCUGAGCUCAGCGUUUGGGACCUGCAUCGUGGGAGUCACUGAGCUGGCAAUGGGUGCAGCGGGUGGUGGGGUGAGGAAGGGCAAGCGUGUGUGAUGCCUUUCUGAGCACAUCUGUUUUAUUUCAUAUCGGCCUGAUGGCUGUAGCAGGGCAGGGGGAGCAGGAGGGGGGUCGAUAGGUGUGGGGUUUCUACAAAAGAUAUGUUUGGAUUUCCAUUUUAUAGGGAUGAAAGGACUUGUGUUUGCUGAAUUGCGAACCCAUAGAGAUACCCUGGGCUGGGAGCAGGGAAUUCGGUUGCAGCCUUCGGAGUGGAGGUGAUUUAUGGCUGGCCGCAGGAAGAGUCUAGGUCCACACACUGAGGGAGGUGGGAAUUGAGGAGGCGGAACAAGAAAAUGAAAGAAGGACUGGAAUUUUCCUGACUCUCCAAAAGCUCUCUCAGUAUAACCCUGUGAUGAGUUAGGUGCAAAUGAAUCAGAAACAUAUGGAUUAAACUUCCCUUCAAGUGAAGGAAAUAGUGAGAAACAAUGGUUGUCAAACUGGGGGCUUGGACCAUUCUAAUGUGAACUCAGUUGAAAAAUAUCUCAGGUGACAGACAGGCGCAAGGUCUUCCUAUGAGGGCCAUUCUCCAAUUUUGAGGACAGUUACACCGAAAGCUGAUAUUCAAAAUUACCUUUCUUAUUCCCAAGAUGACCCGUAUUCUGGGAUUCACUUCCCAUCCCUUCCUGCAACCCUCCCAGGCUGCCUCCAAACUGUAAGGUCUUUUUCGUUUCCCUUUUAGGACACCCCUUGGCUGCCAUUACUAAUACCUUCUGAGUUUCAGUGGAUUUUCAACAACGUGACUUUAAUGAUAUUUUUUCUUUCAAAAAUAAGGAUUAAAAAUAUGUGAUGGUUAAAGUUGCAGCAUCUUUUCUUUGGUUAACAUUUGCAGGCUCUGCCAUAUGCAUCAUAUGCAUGGCAAUUUUGGUCAAUGAGUUUCACUUUUUUCUCGUCUGUGGAAUGGGGAUAGUAAUAUCUACCUGCAUAGAGCAGCCGUGAGGAAGAACCAAGAAAAUGUAGUUAAGACAGAAGGCAUCUAAUAAUCUGAGUUGCUCCAAUAGUUUUUAAUAUCAGCAGGAGUUGGAUAAUCAUCAUUGUGAAUACCAUCUGCCACAUAUCUUAUACCGGAAAUAAUAGUAGUAAUAAUAGUUAAUAUUUAUUGAGUGCUAACCAUGCACUAGGCACUGUAUUAACUCCUUUCAUCAUUUACAAUCUCCUCUGAGGUAGGUACUGUGCUACCCUCAUUUUGCUGUUAAAUUAGUCUGAGCACUGAUGUUUUAGGCACUGGCUGACCACUGUGGGUUUGGAUCACCCAUGAUGUUUUGUAGAAAAGUUAUCUUAUCAAAACAAACUCAAUGUCUGCCCACCCUCAGAGCUCCGAGCAGCCCUCAUUCCCUCUCUGGAGUCCCCUGUGACUGGCACAGUCUGCCACAAUCCCUCCCACCUGUAAACACAUCCCACCUAAUGUGAUAGCUGUGUCUCUGCUGACCAGGACGCAGGAGUGAUCUUGUCAUUGCCCUUGUAUUUUCUUCUGCUUCUUUUCUCUCUGUGAGUGACUUGUUGCUCCAGUUGCAACCUGGGGUGGACGAUCUGUCUCAUAUUACUUUGUCUUUAUCACACCCUUGAUGAAUGAAUAAAUAGUAUAUCAGAAAAUAUUCCUUGACUUCCUAGAUCUGUUCAUGUUUAGCUUAAAUUAAAUGUUUGUGAUUUCUAUUCUCAUUUGCCAUCCCUACUAGGGGAGCUGGUGGUUCUGUUCUAUUUUAUUGGUGGUUUCAUGUCCCUCUGCCAGAAAGAAACACUAUCACCCUCUAGAAUCCUGGGGCCUUGCCUGGGGAACAGUGCGUUGGAGUGUUUGUCUUUCUAAUCUCUAUUCCGUGAAAGACCUUAGAACCUAUGCAGAGCAGGACAGCAGGGAAGAUGCCGGAGAGUUCAGCUUAUAUCUCCUUGGCCCAGUGAUAUGAUGUGAAAAUAGCUCCUUGAAUCUUGGAGAUGUCAGCAUGCUGAGUGCAUGACAGAUAAUGAAAGAGGAUUGUUCCCACACAUUAUUUUUAUGGGCUCAUUGGCUCAAGUUGUUGAAUAAUAAAAAUAAAUCCUGUUUGAAAAUAUAGCGUCACACUUCCAGGUAGACUUAGCGCUAUGAGCAGUCAGUGCAAGCUGCAGCCUGGCCGGGGGUGAGCAUGAGGUAAGAGCUAUUUGCUUUUAUAUCUCCUUGGGUAGCAGAAGCCUGUGAGGGAUGGAAGAUAAGCGGCAUAUAUGCCCCCAGUUCCCACUCUCUUAUCAGUGACAGACAUCACUAAUCAAUUGUAGUGAUCUUUCCUACUUUGCCUGGUUCAGUCUCAGAAUUCUCGAGACAGCGUUCCAGGCAGUCACUUCCAAUCAGAUGGCGCUGGAAUGAGGAAUGAAACUUAUUUGCCAACUGUGUUUUUUCUAUAGACAGGAUCAUGUUGAGUUUAGUAUUGCUUAGUAGAUAAAAUGAAUUUGACUUUUAAAUGAUGAAAAGCGCCAUCUAUACACUGUAUGUUUGACUUGAGGAAUGUUACCUAAUUUUUUGAACCUUGGUUUACCCAUCUCUGAAGUGGAGAUAUAAUAACAAAUCUUCCAGGGCUAUUGGAGUGAUUAAAGAGAUGGUAUAUUUAAAACAACUAGUGGCGUACUGGGGACAUUUACUUAUCUGUGGCUCCUACUAGGACUGGCUUGAGAAGCCACUUGGUCCUUGACUCUGCAACUAGACCGAAUCAAGCUUAAGCCUUUCCCUCUUGGGGUAUGACUCUCAAAUGGUGAGGAAACUUUGUCUGCUUCCUUUCUCAGCCUGCUUGUAGGUUUUGUAAAUGUUUGUGUCAUAAUAGGAAUUGGUAGAUCUCUCAGAAGGGUUUUCCUUCAAGAGGUCAUUACUCUGGGGAUUGACACACAUUUGAGUUUAAUGCAGUGACACCAAUCAUUUAGACAAAGUUAAAAAAUCUACUCCAGUAACUAGAAUUCUAGUGCCUGUCAUUGUCACCAUGUUAAUGGCCCUGGAAUUGGUCACCUACUCCUACCCCACUUCAGUGCAUUCUUCAUACAAUUCCAGUGUGUUUUAAAAUGCAAAUCUAACAAUGCCAUUCUCCCACUUGGAGAUUUUCAAUGGCUACUGUACCAGUCAACAUUCUGGUAGGAAAGAGACGGCUCACUCAGACAAUAAACAAGGGAGUUCAAUACAGGGAUUAUUUACAAAGUGUGGGCAGGGGUAAGGGAAACCAACAAAGAGUGAUGGCACACCCCCAGGCUAGCCGCAGCAGCGCCAUCACCACCUCUAGGCUGGAGGGGCAAUGUCAGGGAGCAGCUGCAACUCAGGUGUUCUCAAUAGGGGUGAUAUCACCCCUCCUCCAAGGGGGAGAAAAUUGGUUGGGGCAUAGUGAAAACAUUUUUCUCUUUUUGUAUAUAGAGCACAGAUAUACAUAGAGUACACAAAUGUGUACAUACAGUAUAUAAGCAAAUUUCACUGGGGAAUGAUUAGGAAAGCAAAAUGUCUUAAAAGUUUCCCAGCUCAUAGGGUUGAUAAUGAAAAAAGGAUUGAGAAACACUGCUUUAACUGAAAGAUUGUGCCUCCUGACAGAAUUUACGGCCUCAUGUAGAGGAAUAUGGUGGCCGCAGCCUGCACGGAGGGUGCCUGGGGAGCAGAGGCCCUGACCUCACUCCUCUCCUGUCCUCUGAGCAUCUGCAUGUGCUUCCUGAGGGCUGAAUCCAACUGGACGCCAGAGCCUAAGGGAGUUUGUUAAUAUAGACCAGGUAGGUCAACCUCGUGGGGCCCAGAGCAGGAUGACGAAGGUGGAGAGUGGAUUUGGAGGGGCAAAUGGAGAAUAACCACAGCACUACCAAGAGCUCCUAGGGUCCAGGGCCAUAUAUCUAUUUUGGCUCCUAAAGGUCUGCACACCUGAUCUCCUGCCUGCUCUUCACCCAUCCCCCUUUUGUUGGACUCCACCAUCUCAUCCCAUUGGUUUCCUCAAAACUGAGUGAGCUCCUGACUCAGGGCCUUUGCCACAAACACGCUGCUCCUUCUAUAUGGCCAUGUUUCUUUCCCUCCUUCUUAUCCCUCAGCUCUCAGCUUACAUGCCACUUUCUCAGGGACCCUCCCUGACCCCCUGGCAGAGAUAGAUUUUCUCCAUUCUAGUGUCUCCUCGAAGCACUAAUUAUGAUCGCAAUUCAGAUAAUUAUUUGUGUAAUCAUUUGCUUAAUUUCUCUCUCUCCCACCAGACCAAAUGUUUUAUGAGGUGAAUGCCUAGCACUCAAUAAAUAUCUGAAAUUAAGAACUCAGUAAGUAUUGGAUGAAUAGGUACAUGCCAGCAGGAUAUAAAUACACCAAAGGCACAGUAGCUUCCUGAAGUCACUGUCUGUGUUAAAACAUAGCUUUACCGCUUACUAGCUGUGUGAUCUUAAGCAAACUGCUUAAGCUCUCUGAGCCCCAAACUUUACUCAUCUAUGAAAUGAGGAUAAUAAUAGUAGCUAUUUUAAUAGUAGCUGUGGAGAGGGAAAAUAAGUUAGUACAUGUAAAGUGCUUAGAAGAGGACUUGGUAAUUGCUCAAUAAAUGACAUCAUCAUCGUCAUUAUCAUUAAACCUUCAUUGUGUAAUUCUUCUAUUGUUAACUGGCUGUUUGGUGAUGACAUUUGCAUUAAUCAGAGAAGAAAAAAAGGUAUGUUAAUCUUAGAUAGCACUCAUACUAACCAUAUCAUUUUUAGAACUCGGAACCCAAUUUUCUUGAUACCGAAUUCUGAAAACAAUUUAGUUUUCCUCUUGUUAUAUAGUUAGAGUCUAGGGAAAAGUUAUUUGAUGAUUAAUUGAGUUUACCCUGUAAAAACCAAAGAUUAAUCCUUUUUCUGUGAAGAAUGUGACAGCUUGGGCUGCUGUGCAAGUCCUUGCUUUGUGAUUUCCGUCCCAAGGUUUUGUUCCUAACUCUAUAUCAGACAAAUCAGACACAAAGCGGGAGAUGGGGCAGGAAGUGGCAUCAGGAUUGCUCUGUGUUCCAAGAUACAUGGUCUUGGGACAAUCAGAGUUGCUUUCUGAGAGGCCACUGGGUCACUAGGAGAUGCAGGGAGACCAGCUGAGUAGCUGCCAAUCACACUGAGAGUGGGACAGAGGAUGAAGCACCAGGAAAAGCAAGGAAGGUAACAGGAGUAAUACCAUGAGACAGGGCACUGACAGCGCCUGCUAGAAACAUCUGAUCCAUUUUCCUGGAUGGCGCAUCUCCUGUGUGGGAACAAUCUAACUGGAUUGGGUGGACACACACUGCCUUUUGCACUACAGCAAUGCUAAGCAUAGACUGAAUCACCAAGUCUCACACUAGUCAGAACCUCCCCACUCUGUCUUUUAACAGUGGAAGAAAGUGAGCCACACAGCUAUGAUAGCAUCGGUGCAUGAUCUCAUAUGGCCUGACUCCAGGCCAGUAUCAUUGUCUUCCUUGCCUUUCUCAUGUUGCUCGCUCUUCAGAUUCUGACUAGAAACUAAAAUUAAUUCUCAUAAAGUCCCCACAAGCAAACCAACUCCCUUCCUUGAGCCACACCACCUGAGUGGGCAUCCUGACAAUCGCACACAUGCAUUACCUGCUAUCCCAGCUCCAUUACUGGAACCUGAGCAAUGUCAGCACCAUGUGUCCUUGAUUUUUCCGAGUGAACCGUGCAUUUGACAUGGAUGGGGGCAUGCAUGGCCGAGCAAUCACUGUCACAGAGGGAAGAAUUUAUGCUUGCAUCUGUGUCUCACCUCUUUUCACAUCUGGUCCUGGUAGGCCUUUGGGAAUUUGUUGGAGAAGGGAAAGGAGAGCAGUGAAGAGGACUCUCAGUACCGUGGGAGCCAGGGAUGAAUAAAGAUGAGAUUGCCACUCUUCCACCUCAAGAGAAGCAGUGGGUUCUGACUGUUUAGUGACUUCAUUUCCUUGACCUGAAUGCUUCUCUUGUCAGAUAUUAAGAACCUUAGAAGCAUCUCAUAAGAUGGGUCUCGUGGUUCACCGAGCCAGGAUUAUUUUUUGAGGAUCACCAAGGAAAAGAGUGCUUCACAUCUUUAGGGAUGUGUCUCAAGGAGUUCAUUUCCCUUAUUAACCAGGAGUAGGUUUAUCCCUCAUGAAUUCAUUCAAACUCUUUUUGAAAUAGUGCAUUUCUGUAUCAUCUUUUUAAGUUAAGAUUCUGUUUGUUUAGCCCAUGUUGAUACAGUAGCUCUUUAUUUUCCCUGUAACACUGGUGGGAAGUACCAGGACUCCAGAACUCAGAGAGUGGUGGCUAAGCCCUUCUGGAUUUUAUAAAUGCCCUUUUAAUCCGUCCCCAGCCUUUAUUCUCAAAGUUAAAAGGUCUCUGCAUUUUAAUCAGACUUCAUAUGACAGUGUCUUGAUCCCAUUGCUUAUCAUAAUUGCCUCCCAUUUUUAUCCCACCUCUUUUGGAUGCCAAGGACAGAACUAUAUGCAAUAUUCCCAAGUCUAGACAUACCUUGGGCUAGGAGUAAAGAAAGGGGAAUGUCCUCUCUUUGGUUUAUUUUGAGCUUCAUGGAAAUGCAGCACAAUUAGAAAAUGUUUUUGUUGUUAUGACUGGCUGCCUCUCUUUGCUGUAAGAGCACAGUGGACUGAUAACAUCAAGGAGUAAAGUAUCUAUGAUGAUUAUUUUCUAAGUGCAGAUGGGUUCAGAGCUCAUCACCUUCCAAACAGCAUCCCUCCACGCUGAUGGCAGUCAGAUACCUGCCUGCUCACUUUCCCGGUGCUGUGGAGCCAUAGUCUGUGACCACACAACAUUUUCUGACCAGUCCCCUUGUUCAGAACUGUUUACUUAGCUCAGUGAAUGAGAACGCGGUAUGAGUGGGAUCCCAAUAGCUGGAGUUCCUCUUCCACAUGGGUCAUCACUCUGUAAAGAAAGUCAAGUUUGCUGGCAGGCACCAUUCUUUCUAUAAGCAAAUGACUCACAGUGGCAUGUUUGGCAAUGUAUUCCAAACAUAUUUUGUCUCCAAUGCACAGAAAUAAAUAUCUUUUACAUUGCAAAUCAGUACACAGACACAUGCACACAUCUGAAACCAAAAUUUCACAAAAUAAUACUCUUGCUAGGUGAUAAAAGGUAAAAAUAAGCAAAAUAUGGUGCAAAAACCAUCCCCAAACAAUCUUUUCAAAAGAUGCUAGUCGUAUCAUACUAAAUUGAUUUUGGGCACAAACUGCUGAGACGAGCAGUUUGAAAAACAAUAGGUUAUAAUACUUUUAUGUAAAGGACUCAAACUUUUUCUUUUCAUUCUUUUCCUUUUAAAAUUUCUUUUCCUUCCUUCCUCCCUCCUUCCU